rnacentral:rRNA from 1 species
GAGUUUGAUCCUGGCUCAGGAUGAACGCUGGCGGCGUGCCUAAUACAUGCAAGUCGAACGAACAGAUAAGGAGCUUGCUCCUUUGACGUUAGCGGCGGACGGGUGAGUAACACGUGGGUAACCUACCUAUAAGACUGGAAUAACUCCGGGAAACCGGGGCUAAUGCCGGAUAACAUGUUGAACCGCAUGGUUCUACAGUGAAAGACGGUCUUGCUGUCACUUAUAGAUGGACCCG